rnacentral:rRNA from 1 species
UACGUAGGGUGCGAGCGUUAAUCGGAAUUACUGGGCGUAAAGGGCGCGUAGGCGGUGUGUCAAGUCAGGCGUGAAAGCCCCGGGCUCAACCUGGGAACCGCGCUUGAGACUGGCACGCUCGAGUUCGGGAGAGGAUGGUGGAAUUCCCAGUGUAGAGGUGAAAUUCGUAGAUAUUGGGAAGAACACCGAUGGCGAAGGCAGCCAUCUGGACCGACACUGACGCUGAGGCGCGAAAGCGUGGGGAGCAAACAGG